AUUGAACGCUGGCGGCAUGCCUUACACAUGCAAGUCGAACGGCAGCACGGGUGCUUGCACCUGGUGGCGAGUGGCGAACGGGUGAGUAAUACAUCGGAACGUACCUUAUCGUGGGGGAUAACGCAGCGAAAGCUGUGCUAAUACCGCAUACGCCCUGAGGGGGAAAGCGGGGGAUCGCAAGACCUCGCGCGAUUAGAGCGGCCGAUGCCUGAUUAGUUUGUUGGUGGGGUAAAAGCCCACCAAGGCGACGAUCAGUAGCUGGGCUGAGAGGACGAUCAGCCAAACUGGGACUGAGACACGGCCCAGACUCCUACGGGAGGCAGCAGUGGGGAAUUUUGGAAAAUGGGGGCAACCCUGAUCCAGCAAUGCCGCGUGAGUGAAGAAGGCCUUCGGGUUGUAAAGCUCUUUUGUCAGGGAAGAAACACCGGCUCUAACACAGUCCGGGAAUGACGGUACCUGAAGAAUAAGCACCGGCUAACUACGUGCCAGCAGCCGCCGUAA
rnacentral:rRNA from 1 species